rnacentral:lncRNA from 1 species
AUGUGUUCUAAGCUCCUUUCUGAGCCUGAGGUUCUAGGUUCUAGGCUCCCUCCCUCCUCUGCCAUUCUCUGUUCUGAGGUUCCUUCCACCAACCCUACCCUCCCCCCCGGCCAUCUCUGUGUCUCUGUGGCACGUUCUGCGCCUCUCAGGGCUCUUUUCGCCCCUGGUGUCUCUGUGGCACGUUCUGUGCCUCUCGGGGCUCUUUUCGCCCCGGCCGUCUCUGUGGCACGUUCUAGCACCCUCUCAGGGCUCUUUUCGCCCCUGGUGUCUCUGUGGCACGUUCUGCGCCUCUUGGGGCUCUUUUCACCCCUGGUGUCUCUGUGGCACAUUCUAGCACCUCUCGGGGCUCUUUUUGCCCCCGGCCGUCUCUGUGGCACGUUCUGCGCCUCUCGGGGCUCUUUUCGCCCCUGGUGUCUCUGUGUCUCUGAGGCACGUUCUGCGCCUCUCGGGGCUCUUUUCGCCCCUGGAUA